GCGCGUGUGGCGGAAUGGCAGACGCACCAGACUUAGGAUCUGGCGUUUAACGACGUGGGGGUUCAAGUCCCUUCACGCGCACCA
rnacentral:tRNA from 1 species